UACCACCCUGAACAUGACUGAUGUCUCUCAUCUCUGAAGCAAAGCUGGGUAGGGCCUGGUUAGUACUUGGAUGAGAGACCAUCUGGGAAUGUCAGAUC
rnacentral:rRNA from 1 species